AGGGGAUUAUUAAACAGAAAUUGAUUAGAGGGGAAUAUUGAAUAUAUUCCCCGAUAAGAACAAAGGAAACCGAGCAGGGUGAAAAAUAACCUUAUUUACCUUACCUUAUUUUUCACCCUGCUCGGUUUCCUUUGUUCUUAUCGGGGAAUAUAUUCAAUAUUCCCCUCGAAUCAAUUUCCAUUUAAUAUACCCUC